UNGUAGGCGGCUGGUCGCGUCUGUCGUGAANUCCUCUGGCUUAACUGGGGGCUUGCGGUGGGUACGGGCCGGCUNGAGUGCGGUAGGGGAGACUGGAACUCCUGGUGUAGCGGUGGAAUGCGCAGAUAUCAGGAAGAACACCGGUGGCGAAGGCGGGUCUCUGGGCCGUUACUGACGCUGAGGAGCGAAAGCGUGGGGAGCGAACAGGAUUAGAUACCCUGGUAGUCCACGCCGUAAACGUUGGGCACUAGGUGUGGGGGGCCUUUUCCGGGUCUUCCGCGCCGUAGCUAACGCAUUAAGUGCCCCGCCUGGGGAGUACGGCCGCAAGGCUAAAACUCAAAGGAAUUGACGGGGGCCCGCACAAGCGGCGGAGCAUGCGGAUUAAUUCGAUGCAACGCGAAGAACCUUACCAAGGCUUGACAUGUGCCGGUCGGCUCCGGAGACGGGGCUUCCUCCUUGUGGGGCCGGUUCACAGGUGGUGCAUGGUUGUCGUCAGCUCGUGUCGUGAGAUGUUGGGUUAAGUCCCGCAACGAGCGCAACCCUUGUCCCGUGUUGCCAGCACGUUGUGGUGGGGACUCGCGGGAGACUGCCGGGGUCAACUCGGAGGAAGGUGGGGAUGACGUCAAAUCAUCAUGCCCCUUAUGUCUUGGGCUUCACGCAUGCUACAAUGGCCGGUACAGAGGGCUGCGAUACCGUGAGGUGGAGCGAAUCCCUUAAAGCCGGUCUCAGUUCGGAUCGGUGUCUGCAACUCGACACCGUGAAGUUGGAGUCGCUAGUAAUCGCAGAUCAGCAACGCUGCGGUGAAUACGUUCUCGGGCCUUGUACACACCGCCCGUCACGUCAUGAAAGUCG
rnacentral:rRNA from 1 species